UGUACCCCCCUAUUGAUCCCUGAUCAAUCGAUCGCCUACAGCCACCAACCAAUCCCCAAUUAAUUGAUCCUCUGUAGAUCCCUGAUUGAUCCCCAAUAGCCUCCAAUAGAUCCGAUUGAUCCCCAAUAGCCCCCAAUAGAUCCCUGAUUGAUCCCCAAUAGCCCCAAUAGAUCUGAUUGAUCCCCAAUAGCCUCCAAUAGAUCCCCGAUUGAUCCCCAAUAGCCCCCAAUAGAUCCGAUUGAUCCCCAAUAGCCCCCAAUAGAUCCCUGAUUGAUCCCCAAUAGCCCCCAAUAGAUCCGAUUGAUCCCCAAUAACUGUUCCAGGUGUCUCCAGGUGUGCCCAGGUGUCUCCAGGUGCGUUCCCAGGUGCGUCCAGGUGUGUUACAGGUGUGCCCAAAGUCUCUCAGCGAUGUACCCAAGGUGUCAAAUCCCAACCAGAUCCCAUUUUUCUGUCCCAAGGCUGUUCCAGGUGUCUCCAGGUGUGCCCAGGUGUCUCCA
rnacentral:lncRNA from 12 species